UAAAUGACAAAGGUGUGUGUGUGCCCUCUUUACCCAUUCUUUGUUUUGUGGUGAGUGUGUGGUGUGAGCAUGAUAUUUUGUCUCGAGAAAACAUGGGCCAGGCACAAAGUAAGCCCACCCCAUUGGGAACUAUGUUAAAGCAUUUCAAGAAAGGAUUCAAAGGAGACUAUGGAGUCACUAUGACUCCAGGAAAACUGAGAACUUUGUGUGAAAUAGAUUGGCCAGAAUUAGAGGUAGGUUGGCCAUCCGAAGGAAGCCUGGACAGGUCUCUUGUUUCAAAGGUAUGGCACAAAGUAACUGGCAAGCCAGGACACCCAGAUCAGUUCCCAUAUAUAGAUUUCUGGUUACAGCUAGUUUUAGAUCCCCUACAGUGGUUAAGGGGACAGGCAGUAGCAGUACUAGUAGCAAAGGGACAGUUAGUUAAGGAAGGUUCUCACUCUACCUGCCAAGGGAAGCCAGCCCUUAAAGUUCUGUCUGACCCGGAGCCCAAAGACUCAUGGCAGGAGAUGGCACCAACAGUGCUGCUCCUUACCAAGCGGAGAGGCCCCCUACUUCUGAGCCCACAGCCCCAAGACCACCCAGAGUAGAAAGGAAGGAAGCGAACCUGCAGGAGAAACUCCUCCCUUGGCAGCCCAUUUACAGCCCAAGACUGGAAUCCAAAUGCCCCUGAGAGUGCAGUGACAUACUAGGGUAGAUGAGGAUGGACACAUGGUGGAAAGGCAUGCCUUCAUAUAUCACCCUUUCACCUCUGCUGAGCUCCUCAAUUGAAAAAAUAAUACCCCAUCUUACACUGAAAAGCCUCAAGCUCUAAUUGACUUGCUCCAAACUAUUAUACAGACUCAUAGUCCUACUUGGGCUGAUUGCCACCAGUUACUCAUGUACCUCUUUAACACAGAUGAAAGGUGAAGGGUGCUACAGGCGGCAACUAAAUGGCUAGAGGAGCACAUCCCAGCCAAAUACCAAAAUCCCCAGGAAUACAUAAGAAUUCAGCUGCCAGGAGCAGACCCUCAAUGGGAUGUGAAUGAAGGACCCAAUAUGGAGAGGUUAAGACGAUACCAGAAGGCAUUAAUUGAAGGGGUGAAAAAAGGGGCUCAAAAGGCCACAAGUGUAAAUAAAGUUUCUGAAGUUAUCCAAGGAAAGGAGGAAAGCCCAGCCCAAUUCUAUGAAAGACUGUGUGAGGCCUAUCGUAUAUACACUCCUUUCGAUCCAGAUUGUCCUGAAAAUCAGCGUAUGAUUAACAUGGCCUUAGUUAGUCAAAGCGCAGAAGAUAUCCAGAGGAAAUUGCAAAAACAGGCUGGUUUUGCAGGGAUGAAUACCUUGCAGUUACUGGAGAUAGCUAAUAGAGUAUUUGUAAAUAGAGAUGCAACAAGCCACCGAGAAAGCCAUAAGGAAGGUGAACGCCAGGCCAGGCAGAAUGCUGAUUUUCUGGCUGCAGCAAUUAGAGGGAUCCCCGCAAAGGGUAGGGAAAGGGGGGUUCCGGGAGGAAUGCCCAGUCCAAUCGCUCAUGUCUGCAGCAUAACCAAUGUGCCUACUAUAAAGAAAUAGAACAUUGGAAAGGUAAGUAUCCCCAACUAAAGGAGAAGCAAGGUGAUGCGGAGCAAAAGACCACAGAUAAAGACAAAGGGACUUUGUUCAGUCUGGCCGAAGAGCUACUAGACUGAAGGGGACUGGGCUCAAAUGCCCCCAAGGAGCCCAUGGUCAGGAUGACAAUAGGGGGCAAGGUACCCCAGUGUCCCCCUUAUCUAAGAAAAACAUUGAUAUAAUCGGAGCAACGGGAGUCUCCACCAAGCAGGUUUUCUGCCUACCGUGGACCUGCUUGGUGGGAGGACAUAAAGUGACUCAUCAAUUUCUGUAUAGGCCUGACUGCCCCUUGCUUAGUAAGCUGAGAGCCACCAUUUCCUUUACAAAACAGGGAUCUUUAAAGCUGAAGUUACCGAGAACAGGAGUUAUCAUGGCCUUUACAGUCCCCCGAGAAGAAGAAUGGAGGCUUUUUCUAACCAAGCCAGGUCAGGAGAUAAAACCGGUUCUAGUUGAGCAAUGGCCCUGAGUAUGGGCAAAGGACAAUCCUCCAGGGCUGGCGAUCAAUCAAGCCCCCGUACUCACAGAAGUUAAGCCUAGGGCCCAGCCAAUUAGACAAAAGCAGUAUCUUGUUCCUAGAGAAGUUCUUGAAGGAAUACAAGUUCAUCUUAAAUGCUUGAAAGCUUUUGUAAUUAAAGUUCCUUGCCAGUCUCCAUGGAACACCCCCUCCUACCUGUCUGCAAGCCAGGGACCAGGGACUAUUGACCCAUAGAGGACUUAUGCUUGGCUAACCAAGCUACAGUGACUCUGCACCCAACAGUUCCUAAGCCUUACACACUGUUAGGAUUGCUGCCGGCUGAGGACAGCUGGUUCACUUGUCUGGACUUAAAGCAUGCCUUCUUUACCAUCAGACUAGCUCCUUAGAGCCAAAGGCUGUUUGCCUUUCAGUGGGAAGAUCUGGGGUCAGGUGUCACUACUCAGUACACUUGGACUUGGCUUCCCCAAGGGUUUAAAAAUUCCCCCACCAUCUUCGGGGAGGCAUUGGCUCGAGACCUCCAGAAGUUUCCUGCUAAAGACCUAGGCUGCAUCUUGCUCCAGUACGUGGACGAUCUUCUGCCAGGACAUUCCACAACAGACAGGUGUGCAAAAGGGACGGAUGCCCUGCUUCGACACCUGGAGGACUGUGAAUAUAAGGUGUCCAAGAAGAAAGCUCAGAUCUGCAGACAGCAGUCUAUUCUAGCAGACCCAAUCUUUGAGACCAGCCAUGGGCAUCAGUGGACUGGGAGUUAUAUGUGGACAGGAGCAGCUUCAUCAAUCCACGAGGAGAAAGAUGCACAGGACAUGCGGUGGUAACCUUGGAUGAUGUUACUGAAGCCAGACCAUUGCCUCAGAGCACUUCAGCCCAGAAAGCAAAGCUCACUGCCUUAACUCGGGCCCUAGAACUUAGUGAAGCUCUUGCUAAAACAGUAGUGCAGCGAUGCAUUACCUGUCGACAGCACAAUGCAAAGCAAGGCCCCUCUGUUCCUCCCAGCAUAUAAGCCUGUGGAGCAGCUCCCUUUGAACAUCUUCGAGUGGACUUCACAGAGGUGCUCAAAUGCGGAGGUAACAAGUAUUUACUGGUUCUAGUGUGUAUUUACUCUAGGUGGGUACAGGCUUAUCCAACACAAACUGAAAAAGCUUAUGAAGUAACCCAUGUGCUUCUUCAAGAUCUCAUCCCUAGGUUUGGACUGCCUCUGUGGAUUGGCUCAGAUAAUGGGCCGGCAUUUGUGGCUGACUUAGUACAGAGGACGGCAAAGGUAUUGGGAAUCACUUGGAAGCUACAUGCCGCCUACUGACCUCAGAGUUCUGGAAAGGUGGAGUGAGUGAAUCAGACUGUCAAAAACAGUUUAGGGAAAGUAUGUCAAGAGACAGGAUUAAAAUGGAUACGUGUCCUUCCUAUGGUAUUGUUCAAAAUUAGGUGCACCCCCUCUAAGAAAACAGGAUACUCCCCUUAUGAAAUAUUAUAUCAUAGGCCUCCUCCUAUACUGUGAGGACUUCCGGGUACUCCCCAAGAGUUGGGUGAAACUGAAUUGCAGCAACAGUUACAGGCCUUGGGGAAAAAUUACCCAGACAAUCUUAACUUAGGUAAAUGAGAGGUGCCCAGUCAGCUUAUUCUCCCCAGUUUACCCUUUUUCUCCAGGUGACCAUGUGUGGAUCAAGGACUGGAACGUAGCUCCCUUAUUAUGGCCAUGGUGGAAGGGACUCCAGACUGUUAUCUUGACCACUCCCACAGCUGUGAAGAGAGAAAGAAUUCCGGCCUGGAUUCACCACAGCCGCAUAAAGCCCGCAGCCACUGGAACCUGGGAGGCCAAACCAAGCCUAGACAAUCCCUGCAAAGUAACCCUGAGGGGGACGACAAGCCCUGCUCCAGUCACACCCGGAAGCUGACUGGUCUACACACAGCCAAAGCAUGAGGAAAAUCGUUAUGGGACUUAUUUUCCUUAUAACAUGGACUUGUGUGGUAAAAGCUUCCACUGCUUCUUCCCACGCAGGGGACUGCUUUCAGUGCACACAUCAGGUCACUGAGGUAGGACAACAAGUUAAGACAAUCUUUUUGUUCUAUAGUUAUUAUGAGUGCCUAGGAAUUCCAAAAGGAACAUGUCUGUAUAAUAACACUCAUUACAAAGUCUAUAAUCCAGGAAGUGACCAGCCCGAUGUGUGCUAUGACCCCUCUGAACCUCCCAUUUCCAGUUUUUGAAAUAAGAUUAAGGACUGAAGACUGGUGGGGACUUAAAUGAUACAAGUAAAGUAUUAGCCAGAACAGAAGAAAAAGGGGUGCCCAAAUGCAUACUCUUAAAAUUUGAUGCUUGUGCUGUCAUUAACAGCAAUAAGUUAGGAGCAGGAUGUGGCUCUUUUAAUUGGGAUAAAAGCUGCAUGACCAAAAAUAAGUACAUCUGUCAGGAAUUAGGAUUGUGUGGAAAAGAAUGUGGGUACUGGUUUUGCGUCAUUACUUGGAAAAAGGAUGAAAAAGAUCCUGUUUGGUUCCAAAAAGGGAAAGGAAGUCCCUACUGUACAAGUGGAAGCUGCAACCCUUUAGAAUUAGUAAUCACAAACCCCUCAGACGCAAAAUGGAAAAAAGGAGAAUAUGUAUCUCUAGGCAUUGAUGGAAAAGGACUAGACCCUAAGGUAAACAUUUUAAUAAAAGGAGAGAUUUGAAAACACUCUCCAGAGCCAGUAUUUCAGACUUUCUAUGAUGAACUAAAUGUGCCAGUACCUGAAAUUCCAGGAAAAACUAGAAAUUUGUUUUUGCAAUUAGCCGAGCAUGUAGCCCAGUCUCUAAAAGUCACUUCAUGUUAUGUUUGUGGAGGAACUGUAACAGGAGAUCAACGGCCAUGGAAGCCCGAGAAUUAGUUCCUACAGACCCAGUUCCUGAUGAAUUCCUGGCCCAAAAGAACCACCCUGACAAUUUCUGGGUUCCAAAAGCCUCAAUUAUCGGACAAUAUUGCAUAGCUAGAGGAGGAAAAGAAUUCACUCAUCCUGUAGGAUGACUUAGUUGUCUUGGACAAAAACUGUACAAUGGUACCACCAAAACAGUUACAUGGUGGAGUUCCAAUUACACAGCAAAAAAAUCCAUUCAGUACAUUUCCAAAAUUGCAGACUGUUUGGGCCCACCCAGAAUUCCACCGGGACUGGAUGGCCCCCACUGGGCUAUACAGGAUAUGUGGACAUAGAGCCUAUGCUAAGCUACCUGAUCAGUGGACAGGUAGCUGUGUAAUUGGCACUAUUAAACCAUCUUUCUUCCUACUGCCCAUAAAAACAGGUGAACUCCUAGGACUCCCUGUCUAUGCUUCCCGUGAAAAACAAAGCAUAGCCAUAGGUAACUGGAAAGAUGAUGAAUGACCCCCUGAAAGAAUUAACAAUACUAUGGGUCUGCUACUUGGGCACAAGAUGGCUCAUGGGGAUAUCGGACCCCCAUCUACAUGCUCAACCGAAUUAUAUGGUUGCAAGCUGUUUUAGAAAUUAUUACUAACAAAACCGGUCAAGCAUUGACUGUUCUUGCCUGGCAAGAGACUCAGAUGAGGAAUGCCAAACAGACUACCAAAACAGACUAGCUCUCGACUACUUGCUAGCAGCUGAAGGAGGAGUUUGUGGAAAAUUUAACCUUACUAAUUGCUGUCUACACAUAGAUGAUCAAGGGAUCAUGAACUAGAUGAACUAGUUGAAGACAUAGUUAAAGAUAUAACAAAACUGGCACAUGUACCCCUGCAAGUGUGGCACGGAUUUGAUCCUGGGGCCAUGUUUGGAAAUUGGUUCCCAGCAAUAGGAGGAUUUAAAACUCUUAUAACAGGAGUUAUAAUAGUAAUAGGAACUUGCUUACUACUCCUUUGUUUGCUACCUGUACUUCUUCAAAUGAUUAAAAGCUUCAUCGCUGCCUUAGUUCACCAGAAUGCUUCAGCACAAGUCUACUAUAUGAAUCACUAUCAAUCUAUUGCACAGGAAGACAUAAGUAGUGAGAAUGAAAGUGAGAACUCCCACUAAUAAAAUGAGUGAGAGUCUCAAGGGGGGGGAAAUGAGAGAGGAGAGAAAGAGACCCCCCAUAUUGUUCUAUAUUGUUUUAUACUCAGUACCAGUUUUAAGAAGAAACAAGGAAGUGAAACCAAAGGCAGGCAGCCCAGCAUCAGGCACCAGACCCAAAACCAGACCCACAACCAGGCCUGGGCCUGCCUGACCUUAGCCUCACAGUUAAAAUUCAACCAAUGACCUCGCAAUUGAUGUUGUCCAUAGAUUCCAGACAUUGUAUGGAAGGACAUUGUGAAACUUCUCAUUCUGUUUCAUUCUGAUUACUGGUGCAUGCAGCCCCUGUCACAUACCCCCUAGAUUGCUCAAUCAAUCACGGCCCUUUCAUGUAAAAUCUUUAGUGUUGUGAGCCCUUAAAAGGGACAGAUAUUGUGCACUCAACAAGCUCGGAUUUUAAGACACUAGUCUGCCGAUGCUUCCAGUUGAUUAAAAGCUACUUCCUUCACUA